GAAAUGGGAAAGGAGAAGCCAAAAUCCAUAGGAGUAUGGCCUGCAGUCAAACCCUUCGUCAAUAGUGAAGCGUCUGGCAUGCUCGCUACCUGUGUUAUCCAACUCAUCGACAUGAUCAAGGCAACUAUUGCGGAGGUACAAAGUCUUCUGGUUUCUGAUAGAAAGAAGAGGCUUUACAUUGUGCAACCGAGGGUCAGUUAUGGGGUCCUGCACUUGUUCUUGCCGCACAACUUGGUGAUCAGCUUUAUGUCGACACUGUGAAGAAAAUGGCGCUUCGUCAGCUAGUAACAGGCUCACCUUUGUGGACAUUAUGCCUGCUAAUUGCUGGUCGACUAGCAGAUGUCUUUUCUACAGACAACAUGUCUGGUGGCAGCAUUCCUGGUGCUGUAAAUAUGUCUCCACAGUCUGCGCAGUAUGGCACUAAUUUUAUGCUAGACAAUUGGGAAGAGAAUUUGGCAGUAAUAACUGCUAAUAGAACAAAAGAUGAUGAACUCGUGCUUAUUCAUCUUGGAGAUUGCCUGUGGAAAGAGAGGAGUGAGGUACAUUCUGUAUAUUAUUCCUCUUCUUCAAGGUUUUAAGUGAACUUAUUUUCAUUCUUGCUACAUUUUUUUUAGUCUUGUUUUGUGGCUUAUUCUUACAUGAAAGUUAUGAUUCAGAAUAUUGCGGCAUACAUUUGUUACUUAGUUGCAGAAGCAAACUUUGAACCAUAUUCGGACAGUGCAAGAUUGUGUCUUAUUGGAGCAGAUCACUGGAAAUUCCCUCGAACAUAUGCUAGUCCAGAUGUUAUUCAGAGGAUAGAGUUAUAUGAAUAUUCUAAGGUGCUUGGAAACACUCAGUUUAUCUUGCUACCAUUUCAACCAUAUAAGUUUGUAUAUGCACAUAUGCUAGCUGAUUUGGGAAAAGUAACAGAGUCAUUGAAGUAUGUAUACAAAACCUUUUCUAUCAUUGAGGGUUCUAUUUAGCUUUUGGUCUCUUAUCAUCAUGAAUUUAAUUCAGGUACUGUCAAGCACUAUUGAAAUCUCUGAAAACUGGUCGAGCACCAGAAGUGGACACAUGGAGACAAUUAGUCUCAUCACCUGAGGAGAGGAUACGAACUCACCAACAGGGUGGAUACUCCGUAAACUUGGCUCCGGCAAAAUUAGUAGGCAAAUAGCUCAAUCUUUUCGAUAGUACAGCUCAUCGUGUUGUUGGGGGCCUACCUCCACCUAUACCAUCAACAUCACAGGGUGCUGCAUAGGCUAGUGAACAUUAUUACCAAACCAUGGGGCCUAGAGUAUCAACUAGUCAAUCAACCAUGGCAAUGUCAUCACUAAUACCUUUAGCAUCAAUAUAGAGCCCAUAAGUGAAUGGACAGCUGAUGGCAAUAGAAUGACAGUGCAUAACAAAAGUGUUUCAGAGCCAGAUUUUGGCAAAACCCCGAGACUAAGAUGGAAUCUGAUGAUCAAAUCAUCCAGCUAUUUUCAAAGGAUUAGAGUUCUCAAUAAUAAUGCUAUUGUUCUUUCUGUUUUCUACAGGACUAAGGUGGAAUCUGAUGAUCAUGUGUUAUUGCACUGUCUGUUUAUUUGGUUACUUUGGUCACAUGUUAUUAGAUGGCGGGGUUUAGUUUGGGCAUUACUAGGCUCUGUUAAUGACUUACUCCAAUGGUGGGCCGGUGUAAACCUGUCAAAACUGGAGAGGAAAAUCUAGAAUUCCAUUCUAUUUACUGUUUUAUGGUGGAGGAAUCAAAGUUUGUGUUUGAAGCCAAGAUAAUCUAGAGAAUGGAGCUUCUGGUGCUAUCUACUCUUCAAUGGAAGAUGAAUUCUCUGACCCACUUUUAUUUGUUAAUCACAUUGUGAGGAGGUUUGGAUUUAAGACAGAUUUGCAUUUGGAGUUUUUGUGGUGUAUGGUCACACAAUCUCCAGAUUUAUUCGUAAAUCUUGAAAGUUGUCGAUAUGUUUAGAAAGUUAGAUAUGUAUAGUUUUGGAUGACUUAAAUUUUUUGUAAAGUUUAGAACUUAAGAAUAUAUUUUUUGAAUGUUUGGAAUGUAUAGACAAUUGUUGAAUAUUUAUAA